rnacentral:tRNA from 1 species
CGGGCUGUAGCUCAGUGGCAGAGCACUUGCCUAGCAUGCAUGAGGCACUCGGUUCUAUCCUCAGCACUG